rnacentral:lncRNA from 1 species
GUACAUAAGAUGUAUAACUUUUUCACAAGCAUUAACAUAGCUUCAAACACUAGAUAUUGAAAGACAUGAACCUAAUUCCAUGAGUUGGUGAACCUGCAGGAACUUUUCUACAGAAAAUGAAUGAAAAUGAAAUUGAGGAAAUGUUAGAUCACCUAAGAAGGAUCAAAAUUGAAGGUAACCUGGAUUUCUUCAAGAUUCGUUGUAUUGAGAGUCUUGAUAUUGUGCUAAGAGUUUUUAGAACCUUUAUAAAGUAUCNNNNNNNNNNNNNNNNNNNNNNNNNNNNNNNNNNNNNNNNNNNNNNNNNNNNNNNNNNNNNNNNNNNNNNNNNNNNNNNNNNNNNNNNNNNNNNNNNNNNGAAUCAUUUCCCUUGCUUGAAACACUUGUUAUAAAAAAGUGUGAUGACCUUGAGGAGAUCCCACUUAGCUUUGCUGAUAUUCCAUCAUUGAAACAGAUUAAGUUGAUUGGGUCUUGGAAAGUAUCUAUGGAGGCUUCAGCUGUGAGAAUUAAGGAAGAAGUCGAAGAGAUUGAAGGAUGUGAUCGUAUACACCUCGUCAAAGAACUGAUUGAAGGAUGUGACCGUAUAGACCUCCUCAAAGAAUACUGAAGUCUAUUUUGUUGCUAGCUCAUUUUGUUAUAUUGUAACACUAGUAGUGUUUGCUAUGUUUGUUUUGAUUGAUCAACUCUUUUUUAUGUAUGAUAUGAUUGGAGACAAAUAUACAUCAGAUCGUCUUUCACUAAUUUCGUGUUUUUAUGCAGCUUUAUAAUUUUGAUCAAUUUCUCUCCACUUACAUCUUCAUAGCUCAAUACACAUCAACCAUGUUGCUGUUGUUGUUGUUGAGUACUUCUUGAUUUUCUAAUUCGAUGAACAUCCGAAAAUUUUUAAGGUUAAACUGCUUCUUGUUGCUGUAGGUGCAAUAUUGAAGGAUCUCUUUAUUAUGUGUUCAGGUGCCUCUUUUAGAAGUUGAAAUUCAUACAGAAUGAAGCUAAUAAAUUUGUUCUUGUCAUUUAUCGAUCAUUUGGACUUUGCAACAUAUGAACUUAAGAUAUAGUAAAAAUAUAGUAUGACAUUCGAGUCCCCUCCGAAUACAGAGUCGUCUAUGUUAGGGAGCUCACCCCAAUGUGGGACUUUAUUACGUCGUGAAUCCAUUGUAUCGGGCUCCAAUGUGGGUACCGGACAUUGGGUGGAAACAAAAAAAUGUAUAUAGUACGACAUGAAAUGAAUAAAUAAGGGCAUUUGACCCUUGCGAACCAAAAAAAUCAAUCUUUUGUAUUAUGAUUGGGCUUGUUCUGAGAACAGACUCCAUUCACAAGAUAUAUGGAAGAAUUAUCACCACUCCUUUUUUAUCCUUGUUUGAUUUAUAACAUAUGAUUUAUCCUUUUUUGAAUUAUGUUUUUUUAAAAAAUAUAAAAACUUAUUCAUAAGUUUAUAUUUUGUAAAAAAAAACAAAUCAUUAUUUUCAGUUUUACAAAAAUAAACUCAUGUUCGACGUGAAUAAAUUGUUCGCCGUAUCAUGUGAAAGAAUUACUAAUUACUACUAUUGUUGACUAGUGGAUCUUUAUAAGUUUAUGUACAUUUGAAAGUUAAAAGAAACAUAAAGAUAUGUAAUUCAUCGAUGCGAUGCUUUAGAUAUUAUGAUAUCUUGUUAACGAAAUGAUUUACUCAUUCGGUAAGAUUGCAUAAGAAUUGAAUUUCAAAGUUUUCACAACUUGUGAAUUUUCAUAUUUAUGAGAAAAAAUAUAACUUCAUGUCCGACCCAAUACCCAACCAUAAAAUUCCUUAAUUAUAUGCUAAGCAAAUAUCAUAUAAGUGCAUAAUUUAACUAUGAAACUGCCAAACCAAAUAAAAUUUUGGGGGAUUUUCCUAAAGAGUCAUUUGGUGUGAAGUAUGAGGUAUAAUAAUUUUGGGAUAAAAUGCGGAAUUAUUUUAUCUUGUGUUUGGUUGGAGCCAUAUUAGGUAGUCCUCCGAUUAUGUAUCCCAUACCAUAGUGAUGGAAUAUAUAAAUUAUGAUCACAUAUACAUGAUGAAGUAACUUAUUUCGCGAUAAUUAAUCCCGAAAUAACUUGCUCCAACCAAACAACCCCUAAAGAAAAAGACAAAUAAUAUAGGUGUAUUAUUGAGUCACUUUACAGCUACCAACUUAAUUCAUCUCUUGUUAGGUAUAAGAAUUGUUGACACCCAAUUUUGACCCUCCCCGAUAAUAAUUAGUUUCUGAGUCUCUUAAUUUCCAAACGAUUUAGAAUAAUUAGCUUUUAAAAAAAAUUCGAAUAGUUUCAAGGUUAUUUUAAGUAUUUUCAAUCAGUUUUAAUAGUGUUUCGAAUAAUAAAUAUAUUUCAUAUAAUUAUAUACGUAAGUAGUAUAUUUUAUAAGUGUUGGAAAAUCAUAUCAAAAGAUUUUUUUUUACUCGGUUUAAAUAAAUAUUUUAGUUAUUUAAUUCUAGUUUGAAUUAUGGUUUCAAUUUUGAAUUAAUGAGUUUAUAGGCAAAUCGAUUAGUUUAUGGUUAAGUUAAUUAUUUUAUUCCGUUAAGAUCAAAGAGCUCAUAAAUUAAUUAUGUUAAUUUGUCUUAUUUAAAUUGCUAGCCGAAUUUAUUCAAACUAAUCCAAUAUGGCUACAUCUUUAAUUUUCGAUUGGCUAUAAUUUAAAUCAUAUGACCAAAGCUUAAUUUAAUUCUCACCAAAUUAAUUUGUUUUCACCAAGACCCAUCUUAAGGGACCAAAUUUGGGCCUUUCCAGCAGCCCAUCCUUUCAACUCCUUUGACCCAACUCCCAUUUAUUUUCCAACAGCCCAAUUCCCAGCCCCAUCUCCCUUAAUUAACAGCCCAAACCAAUUAUUCCCAGCACAGCGACCCGGCCCAAUUCCUCCCAUCAGUAAAGAGACCCAUAUGCUCAAUGUUAACAUCAACUCCUAAAAACAUCAGCAGCAACAACAGUCCAAACACGACAAUGGCAAAGAAUACACGGCGAUUCACGGAAGCUACACGGCAUCCAAUUUCGUCGUUUCUCUUUUGCCGCCAGUAGGUCGUACAGCACCUGCCAGCACGCGUUUUCUUCCCUUUCCUCUUCCGGAAAGGGUUGAAACUUCAGGGGAAAGGUGUUUCAUCGAAAAGGUGAAAGUUUUUUUUUUUGAGUUUGAAAUUUCAAAUUGGCCCUUUGAAUCCGAAUUUUCAUCCCUUUCCCCCCAAAAUGCGAACCCGAAUUCUCCACUAUAAAUACCCUAUUCUUCUACUGAUGGAGGGGGAUUUUUUUUUUUUUUGAGUGGAGGAUUUUGGUUGGAAAUUUUAGGAUAAGAAAGAGGGGCGUUGGUUUUGGACAUCUGAUAAACUAGCAAAUAGAGAGAAUAGUUGAACAGAAGCAUUUCGAAAUAACUUCGAAAAGAUCUAAGUCGUCUAUUAGUUCGGUUCCUCUUUCUCGUGUUGUCGGAGUCUGCCGAAGUGUUCGGAAUCCCUUUCAGUGGUGAAAACUUNNNNNNNNNNNNNNNNNNNNNNNNNNNNNNNNNNNNNNNNNNNNNNNNNNNNNNNNNNNNNNNNNNNNNNNNNNNNNNNNNNNNNNNNNNNNNNNNNNNNNNNNNNNNNNNNNNNNNNNNNNNNNNNNNNNNNNNNNNNNNNNNNNNNNNNNNNNNNNNNNNNNNNNNNNNNNNNNNNNNNNNNNNNNNNNNNNNNNNNNNNNNNNNNNNNNNNNNNNNNNNNNNNNNNNNNNNNNNNNNNNNNNNNNNNNNNNNNNNNNNNNNNNNNNNNNNNNNNNNNNNNNNNNNNNNNNNNNNNCGAAUUCGGAUUCGGAUUCGGAUUCGGAUUUGGAUUUGGAUUUGGCAAAUGAUUGAUUGAUAAUAUUUUUGGACUAAAAUUUAUUUAAUCAAUCUUGUUAAAUCAUUUCCUUUUCUCUUUAUAAAUUAAUUCAGAAUGUUGGUUAACUAACAGAAUUAAUUUUGGCGCAACUGAAUUUAUUUGAAAUUCAUGUGUAACGGUAAUCCUUCCGAAAAGUCGUUACUUUCCGAAAAGUCGUUACUUUUCCAAACGGUUUUCCUUCCGAAAAAUCGUUACUUUUCCCAAAGGACACAAUGUUCUGGAAAAAAACGGGUCUUUUCUGAACAGACGCGUUCCUUGCUGCAUAUGGCUAUAAAUAAGAGAUCUUUUUCGUUUUUUUAAAAACACUAAAAAAAUUUUCCUCUCUGCAUACAUUUUCUCUCAUAAAUAAAAUUGUCGAUCGACAGAGUCUGUGUGUGCUCUUGUUACUGUUCUUGCGUUCGCUGAAGUUAUUGAAGUUUUGAGAUACCGCUACUUCUUUAACAGGUUAAUCCGUUUUAUCUUGGGAGAAAUUAAUCUGCAACCUCGGGUACAGUGAGGGGAUUAAAUUUCUUAAGGAAACACAGUGGUUUCUGUUGGACUCGGAUUAAAACUAAUUCUGUCUGUUUCAUCUUUUUUCUGUUUCUGUAUUUUUUGACUAACCUGGACACAGGAGAUAACAAACUUGUCCUUGCUGUCUCCCUGCUCAAUAUUGCCCCGGUUCAGCUGCCCGCAACAAGGUAAUCAACUCGUAAUCCCUUGGUUGUCUUAAGUUCACUGUGUCGGUUUAGUGUAUUAUUCCUUGGGGAUUUUGAGAUGAGCUUAUAUGGUAUGUUCAGUUUGAUAUUAUUCUCUUCAUCUUAUUGUUGCUGAAAUGGGGUAACGCGCGUUCAUUUUCAAGAUGGAUUAACGCUCGUUUGGGCUUAUAUCUCUGUAUGCGCUCUUCUUGAAUUUAUGACCGUGAUGCUCACCUUAAAUCUGUCUCGUCCAUUUGCUAACCUAUGAGAUGCUGUCCUGUUCCUUUCUUACAGUGAUUUUCAUAUCUUGUUACAUGUCUUGAAAGUGUCAAAGGAUUUGUCUCACUAUCCUUGAGUUUAUUUUCGAGUUUAGAUCGCUAGUGUUGCCUAAAUCAGUCAAGUUUAAUUUUAUUGCAGUUGUCUUGUGACUUAAUGUGAUCCUUCCAUUUCUUUUUAUUUUAUUUUUUAUUAUUACUUUAUUUGGCUUUGUCUACUGUUAUUAAAUGCUAUCCCCAUCUAGUUCAAGUGUAUAAUUUUUAGAAAAUGUGUGCACAGCUCCAUUUGCUUGGAGUAAAAAUAUGAGUAGUCCUUUGCAUUCAAAUGAGUUCUUUUUUUUAUAUAGAGCGAUGCUGCUUGAUGUCUAUAUUUCUUUAAUUAAGCCGAAAUUUUGGAUUUGUUUCCGGCAUAAGUUUAAAGUCUAGACUAGGGUCGUUCCUGUUUUAGUGUUAAUCUCAUAGGAACACAUAAGGUGAUGUCUUUAAUUUUAUUUGGAUCUAUAAUGUGGUUUACAUAUAUAUAUAUAUAUAUAUAAUUAUGCUAUGCAUUGUAUGUUUUUCCAGCUGCUUUAAAAGUUCCAUUUACUAAUUCGUUUCUUUCUUUUCUUUUGUUAUGAAUCGCGUUCGAGUCCCUUUUGGACUCCCUCUUUGCAUAUCCUCGAGUCUAAGCUCGAUUCUGCUUCGUCGAUCCAAUAAAGUUGAAAAAGAAGCUAAAAUACAGGGUAAAUGGAAGCAAAAAACGCAGGGAAAGGCUGGUAUACACUGGUAUACAGAUUUUGUAUACAUGGUAUACACGGAAAAAGCAGCGAUAUACAGGUCCAAAAAUCGAAACAGCUGUUCUGGAAGUUGGAUUAGGUUGUAUACAUUUGGUAUACGGCCUUAUAUACAAAAAAAUGGGCUAGAUUCAUACGAUAUACACUGGUAUACAACCAGUGUAUACAAAAAGGGGAUUGAGCCUAAGCCCCAAUUUCAGCGAAUUUGGCCCAAAAGGAGGCCCAAAUUCAAUUUCUCCCUACUCUUUAAUUAUUUAAUUAUGAUUAUUUAUUGUUUAUUGCGUGUUGACUCUAACUUUUAAAUUGUUAACUAACCUAAUUAAAUUCCCCAAACGAUAAAUUAAUUUUUUUUUUACAUUGGCUUACCUUUAAUACAUUCUUAUAUUUGUUUUUGUUUUAUCUUACUAAUCAAAUAUAUUGGCCAUGUUUCAUUUUAAUUAAAUCUUUUGUUUUUUUUUUUGUUUUUUUUUAAAAAUGACAUGUUUUGAAUGCCUCUUCCUUUAAUCAUUUUGCUUAUUUAAAUGGUUUUAAGUUAACACUUUUCUCAAAUGAACUAAAAUAAAAUAAAAUUGUGUGUGUUCUCUUUUUAUCAAUUGAUUUAAAAUGAUCUCAUGCUUUAAUUGGUUCAAAUUAUUAUCUUAAAAAAUGGAUUAAAUAAAUUUUAAUUAAUCUAGUUUUAUCAAAAUUCUAAUCACUUGUAUUUCGAGUCAAAUGUUCCAUUUUGGAUCCCUUUCUCUAACUGUUUAAAUCUUUUGAAAACCAUAAGUAUUUUUUCUUGAUUUUUUACUAAAAAUUAAGUGGCGACUCUGUUCUUUUGAAGAUUCGAUUUCUCUUAAACCAUAAGUUUAAUCGGUUUUUCGAAAACUAAGUCAUUUUCCUUUUACAUAUAUUUUUAAAUAAAAAAAGAAUUAUUAUAGAGAGAGAAGAAGACUCUUCCUUCUUCCUUCAAACCUUCAUCCAUUUUAUUUCAAUAAACUUUUUUCUUGUUUCACCUAUUAUGUAAAUUUGGAAAUAUAUCUUUGUUGGAAUCCAAAUCUGAGAAUUAUUACUCUCUGGUUUACCUUAUAAUGUUUGUUUUUCUCUAUUGCUCCCUUUUAUGAUAGGAUCAGAAAUUGAAGAUACUUGUUAACUAACGGUAAGUCAUCUUUUUCCCAUACACACAUAAUUAGAGAGUUGAUUUCUCAAAUGGUCCACUCAACUAAUAGUUACUAUCUCAUAAAUGAAAACGAGAAAAAAGACGAUUUUAUGCGAUAAUAAUUGUUAGUUAAAUGACAAUACGAAAAGGGUAAAUAAGAUGUAAAAUUAUAGAUAUUUAUAACUUUUCAAAAGCAUUAAGAUGGCUUCAAGAACCUGAUUUCAAAAGUUGGUGAACUUGCAGGAAUUUUUCUACAGAAAAUGGCUGAAAAUGAAAUUGAAGAAAUGUUAGACCACCUGAGAAGGAUCAAGAAUGGAGGUAAUCUGAAUUGGUUCGAGAUAUUUCUAAUUAAGGAACUUGAAAUGGUACUAAGAGUUUUUAGAACGUUUAUAAAGUAUCAUGAUGUUCUUUUGCCUGAUUCCUUAGUCGAACUCAGAAAGAGUGCCAAAUUGACUGGGGAAAUACUUCACCGGGUAUUGGAUAGGAUUCCAUAUAAAUGUAAAACAAACCUUAAUCUGGAAAGGCUAGAAUCACAUUUGUUGGAAUUCUUUCAAGGUAAUACCAGUUUAAGUUACACUUAUGAGUUGAAUGAUUUUGAUCUGUCGAAAUAUAUGGAUUGUCUGGAAAAAAUUCUAAAUGAUGUAUUGAUGAUGUUCGUGGAUAAGGGUAGGUCCUGCCAUUCCAAAAAAAAACUUGCAAUACAUCGAUCUAUAAAGGAACUGAAAAUUGUUCAAAAGAAAAUGAGAAUUUUGAAAUACAUAUAUGCCACAGAGAUAAAUGGUUAUGUCGACUAUGAGAAGCUGGAAUGUUUGGAGACUCGAAUUCAGUUCAUGACUAACAAUGUGGGACAAUAUUGUUUGGCCGUAUUAGAUUAUGUUGCUGAGGGUGAAGUUAAUGAAGAAAAUGACAUCUUUAGUAAACCUCCUUAUCUAUUAUCAUUGAUUGUGUUUGUGGAGCUGGAAAUGAAGAAAUUACCAAAAGUAUUUUCACAUCAUCUCCACAAUCUGCUGAUGUAUCUCAGAAACAAAAAGCUCGAGAACUUUCCUAAUAAUAACUCUGCUCAAAAUAUUGAUGUGGCAAUAGAGUUCUUGUUGGUUUUCCUUGAUGCUGAUGUGUCAAAUCAUGUUACUAAUGGUAACUGGUUGAAUGAGAUCUUGUUAAAGGUUGGAGCUAGAGCGGGUGAUAUUCUAUAUGUAAUUCAAAAGCUUCUUCCUAGAUCUAUAAACAAAGAUGACACUAGCAAAAUAAGUCUUUGCUCAAUACAGAUAUUGGAGAAGACUAAAGAUCUGAAGGAACAAGUUGAGAUGUACUACAAAUCCUUGAAAUUUACUCCAUCUUAGUUCCCCACCUUUGGUGGAUUGAGCUUUUUGGAUUCUCUUUUAAGGAAACUGAAUGAGAUGUCGAAAUCUAAGUCUGGUUUAGAUUUCCUGAUGAAACCACUUUUAGGGGAUUUGGAGAAAGAGCUAUCAUCUCUUACAUCCAUUUUAGAGAAGGAGCUAUCAUCCAUUUUCAGAGAUGUCGUGCACCAUGAACAUAAAAUUCCUAAAAGAUCUUCAGAGACGUACCAUCAAUUUGGCAUAUGAGGCUGAGGUUGCCAUUGACUCUAUUCUUGCUCAGUAUAAUGCUUUUUUGCAUAGUUUUUGCUCACUUCCUACAAUUUUAAAAGAGAUCAUGCAAAUUAAUGCAGAGGUGACUGAGAUGUGGUCAACGGACAUUCCUCUUAAUCCUCACUACGUGGCUGCUCCAUUUAAACAUCUACCAGCUCAACAUAGCAAUCCUGUGACUGAUGAGGAGGUAGUGGGUUUUGAGAAUAAAGCAGAAGAACUAAUUGAUUAUCUGAUUAGAGGUACAAAUGAGCUAGACGUCGUCCCAAUUGUAGGCAUGGGGGGACAAGGGAAAACGACAAUUGCUAGAAAGUUGUACAAUAAUGACAUCAUUGUUUCUCACUUUGAUGUUCGAGCAUGGUGCAUCAUUUCUCAAACAUAUAGCCGAAGAGAGCUAUUACAAGAGAUUUUCAGUCAAGUUAUGGGCUCCAAGGACAAGGAAGAUGCGGUAGGCGAACUUGCUGACAGGUUGAGGAAAAGCCUAAUGGGAAAGAGAUAUCUCAUUGUAUUGGAUGAUAUGUGGGAUUGUAUGGCAUGGGAUGACUUAAGGCUUUCUUUUCCAGAUGUUGGAAUGAGAAGCAGAAUAGUCGUAACAACUCGACAGUGGGUAAGCAAGUCAAGUACCAUACUGAUCCUUAUUCUCUUCCAUUCCUCACAACAGAAGAGAGUUGCCAAUUGUUGCAGAAAAAAGUGUUUCAAAAGGAAGAUUGCCCGCCUGAACUACAAUAUGUGAGUCAAGCAGUUGCAGAAAAAUGCAAAGGACUCCCCCUAGUGGUUGUCUUGGUAGCUGGAAUAAUCAAAAAAAGGAAAAUGGAAGAAUCUUGGUGGAAUGAGGUGAAAUAUGCUUUAUUUGACUAUCUUGAUAGUGAGUGCGAAGAAUAUAGUCUGGCGACUAUGCAGUUGAGUUUUGAUAACUUACCCGAUUGUUUAAAGCCUUGUCUUCUUUAUAUGGGGAUGUUUUCGGAGGACGCAAGAAUUCCAGCAUCUAAAUUGAUAAGUUUAUGGAUUGCUGAAGGAUUCGUGGAGAACACUGAAUCUGGGAGAUUAAUGGAAGAGGAAGCUGAAGGUUACUUGAUGGAUCUCAUUAGCAGUAACGUGGUAAUUGUUUCAAAGAAAGGUUAUAAUGGUAAAGUCAAAUGCUGCCAGGUUCAUGAUGUUGUGCAUCACUUUUGCUUGGAGAAGAGUAGAGAAGAAAAGUUUAUGCUUGCAGUGAAGGGUCAAUAUAUCCAGUUUCAACCCUUGGAUUGGAAGGGAAGUUGAGUAAGCUUCAGUUUCAGUGAAGAGCUUUCCAAGUUUGCAUCUCUGGUUUCCAAAACACAGAAGCCUUUCCACCAACACUUGAGGUCUCUGAUAAUGAUAAAUAAUGUAGUAUCUUUUGAUAUGAUUCCCUUCUGUUGGAUUAGUGAAAUGCGACUUCUUAAAGUCUUGGAUUUGAGUUCUUACAGUGUGCUGUUUUUGUCGUUAGCUGCAUUCAAACCACUAAAUCAGCUGAAGUACCUCGCAGUUUGGGCAGGUGAAUUCUAUUUUGAUCCAGGAUCACAUCUGCCCCAUAUAGAAACUUUAAUUUUGAAGAAUUUUCCUAUUGUACGGUUACCAGUGUCUUUUUUGUAGAUGGAAAAAUCAAGGCAUGUUGAGAUUAGGGAAGCUGAAUUUGAUAAGCAGGGAUUCUUUGAAGGAUCCUCUAAAUUGGAAAAUUUGAGGAUAUUAAAGAAAAUUGUUGGAUUUCCAAUUGAUAGGUUGGAUGUGUUAUCAAGGAGCUGUCCUAAUCUUCAACAACUUCAUAUCAAAUUUGAGGAUGAUGAAGAGCCUUUUUGUCCCAAAUUGGAGAAUCUUACCCAGCUUCAAGAGCUUCAACUUUCCUUUGUGCAUCCCCGCAUUCUAUCCGGGUUACAGUUGCCUUCAAAUUUAAAACAAGUUGGUACUUGAAGGAAUUCAUAUAGAAAGUGCUAUUUCCUUCAUUGCGGAACUACCAAGCCUGGAGUAUCUCCAAUUACAAGAUGUGUGUUUUCCUCAAUCAGAAGAGUGGUGCCUGGGAGAUAUCACGUUCCAUAAACUUAAGUUGUUGAAACUGGUGCAGUUAGGUAUCUCAAGGUGGGAUGCCUCGGAGGAAUCAUUUCCCCUGCUUGAAACACUUGUUAUAAAAAUGUGUGGCGACCUAGAGGAGAUACCCCUUAGCUUUGCAUAUAUUCCAACGCUGAAACAGAUUAAAUUGAUUGGGUCCUGGAAAGAAUCUCUGGAGGAUUCAGCUGUGAGAAUGAAGGGAGAAAUCGAAGAGAUUGAAGGAUGUGAUCGUAUACACCUCGUCAAAGAACAGUCAGAUUGGUGAGGGUUUUAAUAGCUAAUUGUUGCAGCCAUGCUCAUACAGAAGUAUAGCCCAUUUUCUUUUAUUGUAACAUUACUACUAUUUGCUAUGUUUGUUUUUAUUGAUAAACUCUUUUUAUGUAUGAUUGGAGACAAAUAUAUAUCUGUUGGUCUUUCACUGAUUUCUUGUUUUUAUGCAGCUUUAUACUUUUGACCAAUUUCUCUCCACUUACAUCAGAUCAACCAUGUUGUUGUUGUUGAGUACUUCUUGAUUUUCUAUUUUGCUGAACUAUCCAGAAAAGCUUAAGGUUAAACUGCUUCUUGUUGCUUGAGGUGCAAUGAAUUUCAAAGUUUGGACAAAUCCUUUUUUGUGUCCUUUGAUAUAAAGCCAUCAAGAAAAUCCUUCUUAGAACAGAAUUCUCUUGUAUGAGUAGUUGGUUCGUGGUUGAACUAACACGCACAAUCAUUUCGCUCCUGAGUUGUCCGCUUGGGACCAGAGAACUGGUGUUAACACACCAAUUCUAAUCCACCUAACAUAGACCAAAAUCAAAACUCUCUAUUAGGUGCAGCUUUUUGAAGUGCGAUUUCUGAUACUUUUUACAUCGUUCUAGUGUUAGAAAUUUCCACUGAACUUCAAACUGAUCUAAUUGUAUAGACGAGAGGGAGUUGCUCGGAUGGUAAGCACCCCUCACUUCCAACCCGAAGGUUGUGAGUUCGAGUCACCAAGGGAGCAAAAGGGGUGGGAGCUCCUAGGGAGGGUUAAAAAAAAAAAAUAAAAAAAAAAAAUCUAAUUGUAUAAUCCUCUUCUGUAAAUUGAGUGACUUUCUUUUGGGGUAUGGUGAAAGUUUAAGUAGCCAACCAAUUGAGCUAGUACAUGCUUUGUUGGAUAAUUUAAAAUAUUUGUACUAAUUAGUAUGGAACACGCGUGUUUGAUGACUAGUUAUUGAUACAAGCACAUAUAAAUUAUGCUUGAUUUACCAUUUCCUAUAGAAAGAAUGAAUACAUAAAAUGAAAAUUAUCGUAAGGUCUACGAUGUACGUAAUUUGAAUAGGUCAAUAGGAAUGAAACUCAGGAAGUUGUGGUACAAUUACCACAAUUAAUUAAUUAAGCAAUAAUUGUUGUUUAGUCUUCAUCCUACCAUUAUUAAUAUUUCAGAGCUCAUAUUAUCAGUCAAUAAGCCAAUAGGAAAGAAACGAUAACAAGUAUAUAAGUUAUAAUAAAGCAAUAAUUGUUCGCAGUGGCGAAUUUAGGUGCAAAAAAUAGGGCACCCGAACCCGUGGUCUCUUCGUAAAAUUAGAUAUUUUAUGUAUAUAUUUUCUAACAUUUGUAUAAUAUUAUAUUCUUGCACCCGUACUAUAAAAAUUUUAGUUGAUCCACAUGGUUAAAUGUUGAGCUUUUGACUUUGAGGACUAAAGAUCAAUUCCCACUUAAUACAUUUUUCUUGGUGCACCCAUGUUCGGAUCAUCCUAGAUUCGCCUCUGAUUGUUGGUUACCUAGUAUUAGAUAAAUUAUUUAUGCAAAAAGUCAGAGCUCAUACAUACACUCUGAUUGUGCCUUUUUAAACUUGAAUUAUUCUUUGAUCUUAUCAGCUAUCUCUCUACAAGACAACACCUUGUGGCUGCAGGCAAAUUGAAUUCAUGGUCAUUGAGGUGAGUUUUUUUUAACGUACCUCCUACGAUUUUUAGAAAAUUUUCAAGAAAUUAUUUAUCCACAGUAAUUGUUUAUAUCAAGCCAUGAAAAUUUAUGAUAGUUAAGUGGUUUAAUGCGGUGAGAUUGCAUGUUAAUUACCGAAUUUGGUGGCUUAAAGGAAAGAGAGCUGAGUAACUUCGCCCACCAAGGCUUAAACAAAUAGGAAAGGAAUCACCUACUUCUAUCAUUUUUUCUCCGCUGGUGUGAACCUGAGACUUCGUGGUUCUCCAUCCAUUUUAUUGGGCUACAAGGUCACACUGUUGGAUGCAACGUUAUAUCUGAAAAUUCGUGGGCAUAUAUUGUUGAUCUGAUCAUUUCUAUGACUUCUGUUUUUAUCUUACUCUUGAAUCUUUAGAACUUUUCUUCGGUGGAACUUAAAUGUAAUUUUACUUAUAGUUAUCAUUUCCUUUGUUUCUUUCUAGAAUUGAAUACGAAAUUGGAGAUAUAAAAAAGGAGAUAGGAGACAAAAGUACGCGCUUGAGUGAUUGUAAGACUUGAGCUGAACUUGUGUUAGGUACUUUCCUUCUUUUGCAAAUCGUUAAGUUGGUUUCAAUUAUUAGCUGAAGUGAAAAAAUGUACUGAACUUGCGGGAAUUUUCUACUAUAUUUUCAGGAAAAUGGCUCAAAUUAAUGACAUUGACGAUGUGUUAUAUCACCUAAGAAGGAUCAAGAGUCAAGGUGAUCAGAGUAGCAUCAAGAUUGAUCAGAUUGAGAAACUUGAAAUGGAGCUAAGAAUGUUUAGAACCUUUAUAAAGUAUUAUCAUAUUCUUUUGCAUGAUUUCUUUGUCAAACCCACAAAGAUCGCCAAAUUGAUCGUGAAAAUGCUUCACCGGGUAUUUGAUGGAAUUCCAUAUGAAUGUAAAACUAACCUUGAUCAGGAAAGACUGGUAGCACAGUUAUUGAAUUUCAUAGAUGAAGGUAAUUCCAGUUUGAGGUACAAUUAUGAGUUCAUGAAUGAUUCUUAUCUAUCAGAUUAUAUGGAUUGCCUCGGAAAGAAUCUAAAUGAUGUACUGAUAAUGUGCCUGAAAUUGGAUAGGUCUGAUCCUUCUUGGACGAAUGAAAAAAUCCUUCACUAUAAUCGAUUUAUAAAGCAACUGAAAAUUGUUCAAAAGAAAAUGAGAUUUUUGAGAUACUUAUAUGCCACAGAGAUAAAUGGUUACAUCGACCAUGAGAAGCUGGAAUGUUUGGAGACUCGAAUUCAGUUCAUGGCUAAUAAUGUGGGACAGUUUUGUCAUGCUUUUUCGAUUAAUGUAUCUGAGUUUGAAGAUGAUACAGAUGAGGAUGAGGAUGAGGAUGACAAGGAUGAGCAAGAAUACAUGAAUAAACCUCCAUAUCUGUUAUGUCUAAUUGAGCUAGUGGAGAAUAGUCAUUGCACUAGUAGCGUCUACGAGCCUCCCGCUUCGGUACCAUCUCCUUUUUUACCAGCCGAGCUGCCCUGAAAUGAAGAAGAUUUUUCUUGGUGAGCUAAAGGCUUCAAAGUUCACUCAGUUAGAAACUUUCAAGAACAAGAAAUUACCAAAAGGAUUUUCACAUCAUCUCCGUAGUCUGCUGGUGUAUCUAAAAAACAAAAAGCUCCCAAUCUUUCCUACUAAUGUCUCAACCCAAAAUAUUGAUGUGGCAAUAGAUUUCUUGUUUGUGUUUCUUGAUGAUGAUGGGUCAAAUCAUGCUAUUAAUAGUAAGAUGAUGAAUGAGGUCUUCGAAAAGGUUGUAACCAUAGUGGGUGAUGUUCUAUAUGUAAUUCAAAAGCUUCUUCCUAGAUCUGUAAACAUAGAUGACAUGACUAGCAAAACAAAUAUUUGCUCGAUACAGAUAUUGGAGAAAAUUAAAGAUCUGAAGGCACCAAUGGAGACGUACUACAAAUCCUUAAAGUUCAGUACUCCAUCUCAGUUUCCCACUAUUGGUGGAUUGAGUUUUCUGGCUUCUCUUUUAAGGAAACUGAAUGAGAUGUCGAAAUCUAAAUCAGGUUUAGAUUUCCUGAUGAAGCCUCUUUUUGGUAACUUGGAGAAAGAGCUAUCAGCCCUGACAUCCAUUUUAGAGAAGGAGUUGUCAUUUUUAUCAUCCAUUUUCAGAGAUAUCGCAAAGGUGCACCAUGAACAUGAAAUUCUGAAAGCUCUUCACAGGCAUACUAUCAAUUUGGCAUAUGAAGCUGAAGUUUCCAUUGACUCUAUUCUUGCUCAAUAUAAUGUUUUUUGGCAUAUUUUCUGCUCACUUCCUGCAAUCUUGAAAGAGAUUAAGCAAAUCAGUUCGCAGGUGACUAAGAUGUGGUCAGCAGACGUUGCUCUUAAGCCUUGCUAUGUGGUAGCGCCAUCUAAACACCUGCCAACUCAACAUAGCAAUCCAGAGACUGAUGAGGAGAUAGUAGGUUUUGGGAAAGACACAGAAAAAAUGCUUCAGUAUCUGAUUAGAGGUACAAAUGAGCUAGACGUCGUCCCAAUUGUAGGCAUGGGGGACAAGGGAAAACCACAAUUGCUAGAAAGUUGUACAAUAAUGACAUCAUUGUUUCUCGCUUUGAUGUUCGAGCAUGGUGCAUCAUUUCUCAAACAUAUAGCCGAAGAGAGCUAUUAAAAGAGAUUUUCAGUCAAGUUACGGGCUCCAAGGACAAGGAAGAUGAGGUAGGCGAACUUGCUGACAGGUUUAGGAAAAGCCCAAUGGGAAAGAGAUAUCUCAUUGUAUUGGAUGAUAUGUGGGAUUGUAUGGCAUGGGAUGACUUAAGGCUUUUCUUUUUCCAGAUGUUGGAAUGAGAAGCAGAAUAGUCGUAACAACUCGACUUGAAGAAGUGGGUAAGCAAGUCAAGUACCAUACUGAUCCUUAUUCUCUUCCAUUCCUCACAACAGAAGAGAGUUGCCAAUUGUUGCAGAAAAAAGUGUUUCAAAAGGAAGAUUGCCCGCCUGAACUACAAUAUGUGAGUCAAGCAGUUGCAGAAAAAUGCAAAGGACUGCCCCUAGUGAUUGUCUUGGUAGCUGGAAUAAUCAAAAAAGGAAAAUGGAAGAAUCUUGGUGGAAUGAGGUGAAAGAUGCUUUAUUUGACUAUCUUGAUCAUGAGUCGGAAGAAUAUAGUCGGGUGACUAUGCAGUUGAGUUUUGAUAACUUACCCGAUUGUUUAAAGCCUUGCCUUCUUUAUAUAGGGAUGUUUCCGGAGGACGCAAGAAUCCCUGUGUCUAAAUUGAUAAGUCUAUGGAUUGCGGAAGGAUUUGUGCAGAACAUUGAAUCAGGGAGAUUGAUGGAAGAGGCAGCUGAAGGUUUCUUGAUGGAUCUCAUCCACAGUAACGUAGUAAUGGUUUCAAAGAGAGAAUAUAACGGGAAAGUCAAAUACUGCCACGUUCAUGAUGUAGUGCUUCACUUUUGCUUGGAGAAGAGUAGAGAAGAAAAGUUUAUGUUGGUUAUGAAGGGAAAUUGUAGCAAAUUUCAACCUUUUGAUUGGAAGGAAAGUCGAAUGAGGUUCAUUUUGACUGAAAAGCUUUCAAAGUUUGCAUCUCUGGAAUCCAAAACACGGAAGUCUUUCCACCAACACUUGAGGUCACUGAUAAUGACAAAUGGAUUACUAUAUUUUAAUUGGAUUGUCUUCCCUCAGGUUAGAGAAAUGAGACUUCUUAAGGUCUUGGAUUUGACUUCCUUUGAUGUCAAAUACUUGUCGUCAGCUACAUUGAAACCACUGAUUCACCUGAAAUACCUUGGAGUUAGCGCAUGUGAAUUUUAUUUUCAUCCUGAACCACAUCUUUCCCAUCUUGAAACUUUAAUUGUGAAGGAUUUAUUAUUCAGGUAUACAGAGUUACCAGAUAUUUUUUGGAAAAUGGAACAAUUAAGGCAUGUUGAUAUUAAUAAAGCUGAAUUUUAUUUGGAAGAGGGGAUGAUUGAAGAAUCCUGUAAAUUGAAUAAUUUGAGGAUAUUAAGGCGAGUUCGAAUUUACAAUGCUGCUAGUGAGGAUGUGUUAAUACAGAGUUGUCCUAAUCUUCAACAACUGUACAUCACAUUUGAGGAGAGUGUACCUGGAGAGCCUUUCUGUUUCACAUUGGAGAGUCUUAUCCAGCUUCAAAUACUUAGCCUUUCCUGUGAUUGUUGUCUCUCAGGUUUACAGUUGCCUUCGAAUUUAAAAAAGUUGGUACUAAGAGGGAGUAAUAUAGAAAGUGCAAUUCCCGUCAUUGCAGGACUACCAAGCCUGGAGUAUCUCCAAUUAUGGAACUCAGAUUAUUUUCAAUCAGAAGAGUGGAGCCUCGGAGAUAUCACAUUCCAUAAACUUAAGUUGUUGAAAAUGGUGUUCUUACGUAUCUCAAGGUGGGAUGCCUCAGAUGAAUCAUUUCCCCUGCUUGAAACACUUGUUAUGAAAAAGUGCACUGAGCUAGAGGAGAUCCCCCUUAGCUUUGCCGAUAUUCCAUCAUUGAAACAGAUUAAGUUGAUUGGAUCCUGCAAAGAAUCUCUGGUGGCUUCAGCUAUGAAAAUUAAGGAAGAAGUCGAAGCUAUUGAAGGAUGUGACCGUCUUAACCUCUUCAAAGAACAGUCAGAUUGGGGAGAAUUUUGAUAGCUAAUUGUUGCAGCCAUGCUCAUCCUCUUAUAUUGUAACACUAGUACUGAUUGUUAAGUUUGUUUUGAUUGAUCAACUCUUUUUAUGAUUGGAGAUAAAUAUAUAUCAGAUGGUCUUUCACAACCUGUCAAAUCAUUGUUCCAUUUCUAUAAUCUUUCACCAGGUAAUGGGCAUGAUCUUGGUCAUUUCUAGUUAUCUUUAGCAAAAACAGUUAUCUCUUUCGAAAUGACAUUUUUGGCUACGAUUCUUGCAAUAUAUUAGCUACUAAAAAAAAAUUUCUCUUGUAUGGGUAGUUGGUUCGUGGUUCAACUAACAUGCACAAUCAUUUCACUCCCAAGUUGUUAACUUCGGACCAAAGAAUCGGCAUUAAGACACCAACUCUAGCCUACCUAAAAUAGACCGAAAUCAAAACUCAUUAUUAAGUACAUCUUUUUGAAGUGCAAUUUCUGAUAUUUUUUACAUGAUCUAAGUGUCUAGUGCAGUUCUUUUUUUGUUGCUUUUUUAAAAAAAUAAAAAAUAGGAGACUUCCUGAUGUUUGAGAUUAAACUUUUUUCAUUAUUUUCAUCAAAGUUAUUAAGAAAAUUAUUAAAUACUUGCGGAGAUUAAAAUCUUAACUUUUGGCAAACUUAUAAGACUCAAAUUAUUCAAUGCAUACUUAAAAGGACUAUUUUGAAUCUUUCUCAAACACAAGGGAUCAUUUUUGUCGCUUAAAAAAUAUUGUGUAUUUCAGUUCUCCCCUUGCAAUGUUCUACCCUGGAAAAUUGUAGAAGAAGAGUGUUGAGAGAAUUCAUCAGAGAAAUCCAAUGUGGGAGUGUUUCACUCCUCAAUGUGGGACUUUAUUACGUCACGAAUUCAAAUUGGAUCGGGCUCCAACGUGGAUACCGAACACUGGAUGGGAAACAAAACAAUAUAUGUAGUACGACAUGAAAUGAAUAAAUAAGGGGAUUUGGCCCUUAAGAAACAAAAAAAUCAAUGUUUUGUAUUGUGAUUGGGCCUGUCCUGAGAACAGACUCCAUUCACAAAAUAUAUGGAAGAAUUAUCACCACUCCUUUUUUAUCCUUGUUUGAUUUAUGACAUAUGAUUUAUCCUUUUUUCAAUUAUGUUUUUUUCAAAAAAUAUAAAAACUUAUUCAAGUUUAUAUUUUGUAAAAAAAACAAAUCAUUAUUUUCAGUUUUACAAAAAUAAACUCAUGUUCGACGUGAAUAGAUUGUCCGUCGUAUCAUGUGAAAGAAUUACUAGUUACUACUAUUGUUGACUAGUGGAUUUUUAUAAGUUUAUGUACAUUUGAAAGUUAAAAGAAACAUAAAUAUAUGUAAUUCAUCGAUGUGAUGCUUUAGAUAUUAUGAUAUCUUGUUUACGAACGAUGAUUUACUCAUUCGAUAAGAUUGCAUAAGAAUUGAUUUUCAUAGUUUUCACAACUUGUGUAUUUUCAUAUUUAUGAGAAAAAAUAUAACUUCAUGUCCGACCCAAUACCCAACCAUAAAAUCCCUUAAUUAUAUGGUAAGCAAGUAUCAUAGAAGUGUAUAGCUUAAGUACGAAACUAACAAACCACAUAAAUUUUUGGGGGAUUUUCCGAAAGAGUCAUCUGGUGUGAAGUAUGAAGUAUAAUAAUUUUGAGAUAAAAUAUAGAAUUAUUUUAUCCUGCGUUUGGUUGGAGGCAUGUUAGGUACAUAGUCCUUGGAUUAUGUAUCCCAUCAUUUAUACCAUAGUGAUGGAAUAUAUAAUUAAUUAUUAUCCCAUAUACAUAAUGAAAUAACGUAUUCCGGAAUAAUAACUCUCGAAACAACUUGUUCCAACCAAACAACCCCUAAAGAAAAAGGCAAAUAAUAUAGGUGUAUUAUUGAGUCAUUUUACAGCUACCACCUAAAGCAACUUGCUACUACAAUUCAUCUCUUGUUAGGUAUAAGAAUUAUUAGAGAGAGAGAGCAGAAGACUCUUCCUUCUUCCUUCAAACCUUCAUCCAUUUUAUUUCAAUAAACUUUUUUCUUAUUUCACCUAUUACGUAAACUUGGAAAUAUAUCUUUGUUGGAAUCCAAAUCUGAGAAAUUGAAGAUUCUUGUUUACUAACUGUAAGUCAUCUUCUUCAUGAAUUACUUUUUUCCCAUAGAUACAGAAUUAGAGAGUUGAUUUCUCAAAUGGUUCACUCAACUAUUAGUUAGUAUCUCAUAAAAUUGAAAAUGAAAGAAAGACGAUUUUUCUGAGAUAAUAAUUAGUUAAGUGACAUUUGACAAUAUGAAAAUGGUACAUAAGAUGUAUAACUUUUCACAAGCAUUAACAUAGCUUCAAACACUAGAUAUAUUGAAAGACAUGAACCUAAUUCCAUGAGUUGGUGAACUUGCAGGAAUUUUUCUGCAGAAAAUGAAUGAAAAUGAAAUUGAGGAAAUGUUAGAUCACCUAAGAAGGAUCAAAAUUGAAGGUAACCUGAGUACCUACAUGAUUUGGGAUAUUCAGGAUCUUGAAAUUGUGCUAAGAGUUUUUAGAACCUUUAUAAAGUAUCAUGUUCUUUUACCUGAUUGUUUAAUCAAACUCACAAAAGAAAGCCAAAAUGGACUGUGGAAACGCUUCAUCGGGUAUUUAAUGGGAUUCCGGAUGAAUGUAAAACUAACCUUAAUCUGAAAAGGCUAGAAUCACAUUUGUUGGAAUUCUUUGAAGGUAACUCCAGUUUAAGUUACAAUUAUGAGUUGAAUGAUUUUGAUCUGUCGAAAUAUAUGGAUUGUCUGGAAAAAAUUCUAAGUGAUGUACUAAUGAUGUUCCUGGAUAAGGAUAGGUCCUGUCAUCUCAAAAAAAAACUUGUAAUACAUCUAUCUAUGAAGAAACUGAAAAUUGUUCAAAAGAAAAUGAGAUUUUUGAGAUAUAUAUAUGCCACAGAGAUAAAUGGUUACGUCAACUAUGAUAAGCUGGAAUGUUUGGAGACUCGAAUUCAAUUUAUGGCUAACAAUGUGGGACAAUAUUGUUUGGCCGUAUUAGACUAUGUUGUUGUUGUUGAAGUUAAUGAUGAAAUUGAUUUCUUUAAUAAACCUCCUUAUCUAUUAUCAUUGCUUGUGUUUUGUGGAGCUGGAAAUGAAGAAGAUUUUUCAUGGUGAACUAAAGGCUUCAAAGUUUACUCAAUCAAAACCAUUCAAGGACAAGAAAUUACCAAAAGAAUUUUCACAUCAUCUCCACAAUCUGUUGAUGUAUCUCAAAAACAAAAACUUGAGAACUUUUCCUAAUAAUAUCUCUGCUCAAAAUAUUGAUGUGGCAAUAGAAUUCUUGUUGGUUUUCCUUGAUGCUGAUGUGUCAAAUCAUGUUAUUAAUGGUAACUGGUUGAAUGAGAUCUUGUUAAAGGUUGGAGCUAUAGCGGGUGAUGUUCUAUAUGUAAUUCAAAAGCUUCUUCCUAGAUCUAUAAACAAAGAUGACAAUAGCAAAAUAAGUCUUUGCUCGAUAGAGAUAUUGGAGAAGUCUAAAGAUUUGAAGGCACAAGUUGAGACGUGCUACAAAUCCUUAAAAUUUACUCCAUCUCAGUUCCCCACCUUUGGUGGAUUGAGCUUUCUGGAUUCUCUUUUAAGAAAAUUGCAUGAUAUGUUAUGUCGAAAUCUAAGUCUGGUUUAGAUUUCCUGAUGAAAC